rnacentral:rRNA from 1 species
UACGAAGGGUGCUAGCGUUGUUCGGAAUUACUGGGCGUAAAGCGCGCGCAGGCGGUUUCUCAAGUCAGUGGUGAAAGCCCGGAGCUCAACUCCGGAACUGCCAUUGAAACUGUGAAACUUGAGGACGAGAGAGGUGAGUGGAAUUCCCAGUGUAGAGGUGAAAUUCGUAGAUAUUGGGAAGAACACCGGUGGCGAAGGCGGCUCACUGGCUCGUUUCUGACGCUCAGGCGCGACAGCGUGGGGAUCAAACAGG